UUUGGAUCCACAUUUUUUAUCAGAUUUUGAUAUUCAUUUUAAUCCAAAUGUUAAUCAAUGCUAAUCCUUUAGAUUUUCUAUUAAUCCCCUCCCUAACAACAAUUAAUCACAGUAAAUUAAAUUAAAAUCCACAUUACCAAAAUAAGCCAAAUAGAAAGGGGAUUAGGUUUACGUUUACAUGUGACCAUUGAACUUUACGUUCUUCUUCCUCUCACUCAAGCAAGUGGGGGCGUCGGAGUUCAUCUCCUUCUUCUCCGGCGAUAACUUUGCCAUUCACCACCGCGAGAUUAGACCUCUAAUUGCCCUUCCUAUCGAAUUCCAAUCGGCUCUUCUUCUCAAUCGCUCCUCUUCGUUCGUCUCGGAUUCGUUCAACACUCUCAAUCGCUCAUCUCCGUUCAUCUCCGAUUCUAAAUCUCCGUCUCAGAUCUCUUCUCUUGAUCUCAAACAUUCAAACAGCGGUGAGCUCCCUCGAACUACGAAAUCUUUCCGAUCCCCAUGCAAACACAACCUUCAUCCGAUUCUCGCUUCUUCCUUGCACUCUCUAUGAUUUAACCGUGUGGUUGUUGUUGUGGCACGAAGGCAAGGUCGUUGCGUUGUUGAAGCGAUUCGGUGAAGAUCUUUGUGGUUGCUUCUGUAGAAUGAUCAAGAUUUGAUGAAGGUUUCGUUUGCCAAAUUUGUGCUUGAUGAUUGGAGACUCGAUGUAGGUUGGAGAGUCGUUGAAGAUGAAUCAGCAGAGAGAUUGAAGGAAGGAUUAGAGAUCGAAGGCGAUGGAUCCUUGAGAAUUGUUGAAGUUUCAACUGAUGAAGAUUGAAGUUGAUGAUGAAGAUUACGGAGAAAGUUGAAUGAGGGAGAGAGGCUUGUGGUGUCAAGAAGAUGAUUUCUGUCACGUUUUUCUUUGUAUUUUUUUGUGUAGAUUGAAGAUGAUGAUUGAUUCUAAGCUUGUAUGUGGUCAAGAUUGAAGAAGAUGGAGGAGAAUUGAAGAUUGGUGAAGGUUAUCGAGGUUGAAGAAGAAUAGAGAAGGUUCAAUGAUUCGAUUAUGGUGAUUCCGAUGGAAAAGAGAGAGAGGUUCAAAGUUUGUUACAGGGCUUUGUGACGUAUUAGUAGGAGAUUAUGUUUUCAACUGGACUGUUAAUAAUCGUUGCUGUUGAUGCAUUUGGUUUUCUGAAUUUUUUACAGCGUGAAUGAACUAUUUGGAUGAAGAUUAGGCAUUCUUGAAUUGCACAUGGCUUAUUGAUUCGUUUUUAAGAAGAGGCAAGGCUCGAAGAUGGAAACAUGACCCGACAUGACCUCGAGUCGAAAAAUUAGAACUAAGUUUAUGUAAUGGAUUUGAAUGUAGAGUCCCUUUUUUUUAAUUUGGUAGAGAGGUUUGAAUUUUGUAAUGGACAUGGACUUUUGUAUUUGAGCUCUGAAUGAUAAAUGAUAUAAAGUUUGGAAACCUUGAA